ACUGCGUCUGUAGUCUUUUGUGGGAUAUUAUUUUUAGUUUUCAUGUAUUUAAUGUUUUACUGUUUAUGUAAUAGUUUCUCGUUGCACACAACAAGUGAUAUAAUUUAAAAAGCGAGGAGAAAAGACAAAAAGAUGCUGGUUUCAUGACGGGUACAGCUCCACAGUCAGCACAUCCAGGGCAUUCCAGGAGGCGAUGCUGAUGCCUCCGAACAGGCAGAGCAGCGCGAUCAUAGCCGACUCACUGUUGCCGAAGGACAGGAAGAAACAGCUGACGCAUGAAAUCACGCUGGAUCCCGCUGGUAAUGAAAAACGGUCAAAAAAUGGAGGACAUUUCAACACGAGAACCCAGGAAGAAGAAAAAUCGCAACAACAACCGCAAAGACAACCAAGAGACAUUUGGACAUUCCUCCGAAUACAAUGCAUCAGUACUAUUAUCUGAUGAAUUAUCAGUAUAUAUUGAUAUAUGAUAUCAUUAUGGAAGUCUUUUCAUUUUACAUGGGGCAAGUUGGGGCAAGUAGUUCUCACCUUAAGGAUUCCCCAUGGGCAAGUCAUUUUUGUUUUUAAUGUAGAGCCCUGUUAGGCUUCAAUAUUUAUUGAACUUUAUUUCAAAUCAAGUAUUUCCAUAGUCUCCUACCUGUGUUGUAAAAGAGGGUGGCGAUGAAGGUGCAGUUCUUAAAGAAGGUGUUGCUGGAGGUGAUGUCCUCAAAGUAACACUCCUCAAACAACGAGUCCUCAAACACCAUCGAUUUCAUUUUCAGGUUCAUGAACCUGUCAAAACAAAUCCAGACAAUAGAAAAAAAAGGAAAAGGAAAGACUGCAAGGAAGGAACGAUGUUGUGAUUGUAUUACUGACUCACUUGUCAUUGAAGUACUGUCCCUGGCGGUGAACCUGGUUCUCCAGGGUGAAGUUGAAGGUGACAUGUUCCACUUUCUCCUUGACAAAGACUUUGGUACGUGAUGAAUACUCCUGCUUCUGAAGAUACUUGAUCAUGUCGGGGAACCACACCGUCAGACCGUAGUAGCUGCACAAGGUGCAUGGUAAGUCAUUUUUAAAUUACCAAAUUCUACCACCAUGAUUUUGGGUUGUUGGCUUUCCAACAUUAUCAACCACACAACCUUCUAUGACACCGAAAAGUAUCAGAGAUUUUCCUUGUUCCUCACCUGAAGGACAUAGAGAACCAUACGGCCAUCAUCAUGUAUGUGGUGCGACGGUACUCGGGGGAGAAAACCGUCUGGAAAUUGCUCCACACCUGAAGGAUCAUACACAACAAAAUGUUAACAUUACACAUCCACCGCUUCAAAAACGAAAUGAAUUCACCUGAUGGAAAAGCGAGGUAAGCUUUAUUCUCCAUUUCUCGUGCCAGGCGGCGCCGUCACCCAGGUUGACCAGCUCAUCCAACUGCUUCACAGUUUUGAUAGUGGUCACCUAUGUGGAAAUAUUUACAUGAAAUUAUUGAAUAUAUGAUGAAAUAUAUGAGCAGCAUGUCUGCUUACAGAGAAAACCCGCUCUGGGUAACCUUUGGCCCUCAUGUUGGUGUCAUGGACCUGCUUCAGAAUCAUCCAGGCCUCGUCGUGCUUCCCGUUCUGGAGAAAGAAACACAAUAAGAGUGGAAAAUGUGGAAUUAACAAUUGGCCAAUGUGGCCAGCCAUGAGUGAGACCCUGUGAACUCUGGCGAGGAACAAGGGGUCAGAAGGUCAGAAUGUAACUAACGGCAUAAACCGUAUACCUCUACAGCAGGGGUCUCAAACACGCGGCCCGCGGGCCAAAUGUGGCCCGCAGGACACUAGUUUGAGGCCCCCGCCUUGAUAUGAAAGUUUAAUGUUUAAGUUUGAUAUGGAUGCUGUAUGGUAUCAUGUACCCGGAAAAAAUGAUUACGUUUGAUUCAUGUUCAUGUUAAAGGUUAAAUAACUGUUAAUAGUUGUCCUCCCUAUCCGUGUGGAAGUGGUAAGUUUUUGGCUAUUUAAGUUGAAAGGAAAUAACUUGAAGGCUAGCGUUUAGGUGGCUAGCUCUCUAGUUUGCGAGUUAGCAUGUGUCUCAAGACCCUGCAGUUGCGCAAUAUGUUGUAAAUAGAGUAUAAAUGUGACUAUAGUCGUGUUUUGUCAUGUCUACAGGGCUCUAAUAAUGCUUUGUUCAUUUUAAUCUGGAAAAAAAUCAUUUGUCUACCCACCAACUAUA